AGAGGAAGAGACGCAGGUACAGAGGACACAGAGCGGGAUGAGAGGAAGAGACGCAGGUACAGAGGACACAGAGCGGGGUGAGAGGAAGAGACGCAGGUACAGAGGACACAGAGCAAGAUGAGAGGAAGAGACGCAGGGACAGAGGACACAGAGCAAGAUGAGAGGAAGAGACGCAGGUACAGAGGACACAGAGCUGGAUGAGAGGAAGAGACGCAGGUACAGAGGACACAGAGCAAGAUGAGAGGAAGAGACGCAGGUACAGAGGACACAGAGCGGGAUGAGAGGAAGAGAUGCAGGUACAGAGGACACAGAGCG
ensembl:lncRNA